rnacentral:rRNA from 1 species
AACGAACGCUGGCGGCGUGCUUAACACAUGCAAGUCGAACGGAAAGUCCCUGCUUUGUUGGGGUGGUCGGGUGGCGAACGGGUAAGUAACACGUGAGUACCCUGCCCUUGACUUUAAGAUAACUUCAUGAAACUGAGGCUAAUCCCGGAUAGGAGCUCCUGCUGCUUGGUGGGGGUUGGAAAGUUUCGGCGGUUGGGGAUGGACUCGCGGCUUAUGAGCUUGAUGCGUGGGUAGUGGCUUACCAAGGCUUUGACACGUGGCCGGGCUGAGCGGGUGACCGGCCACGCUGCGACGGAGAUGAGGCACAGACCCGUAUGCGAGGCAGCAGUGGAGAAUAUUGCACAGUGGGCUGAGGGCUGAUGUAGUAACGCCGCGUGCGGGAUGACGGCCAUCGCUUUGGAUUGCGCAGCCGUCUUACACGAGACGUUAAUGACGGUAAUGGGUAAAGAAGCACCGGCUAACUACGUG